GACCGCACAGAACAUCACAGUGAAUUGACGUGGCAACAGGAUACAACUUUACAGUCUCCCGAACAGGCAAUACAGUCACCGUGGCAUCAUGAAACACCCAGACCACAGAGAAAAAGCCUCUAAAGCGAUGACCGAUUAAUAAGAUUAUGGUGCCUGAGAGGGCUCAACACGCUGCAACAGAAGAAAACAGAUGCAAACAAAAA